GAAAACACUGUGAAUAAGAGUAGUAGGGUAGAGGCUGUUGCAUGAGAGAGCUGUCGGUUGCUGGAAGAUGGCCAACACCUCGCCUGAAGUCGCUUAGAAGUGGUUAGCCUGAACCGAAGUAGGGCUAAACGGAUCGAAUUCGUUAACAACGAUUAAGUGGAUUUUUUUAUGUAUGAAAAAUCAAUCAGAGUGGUACCACGUUAGGUUAUGCCUGUCGUCUCUAUG
rnacentral:ncRNA from 1 species